UUGACCUCGGAUCAGGUAGGAAUACCCGCUGAACUUAAGCAUAUCAAUAAGCGGAGGAAAAGAAACCAACAGGGAUUGCCCUAGUAACGGCGAGUGAAGCGGCAACAGCUCAAAUUUGAAAUCUGGCUCUCGGGCCCGAGUUGUAAUUUGUAGAGGAUACUUUUGAUGCGGUGCCUUCCGAGUUCCCUGGAACGGGACGCCAUAGAGGGUGAGAGCCCCGUCUGGUUGGAUGCCAAAUCUCUGUAAAGUUCCUUCGACGAGUCGAGUAGUUUGGGAAUGCUGCUCUAAAUGGGAGGUAUAUGUCUUCUAAAGCUAAAUACCGGCCAGAGACCGAUAGCGCACAAGUAGAGUGAUCGAAAGAUGAAAAGCACUUUGAAAAGAGAGUUAAAAAGUACGUGAAAUUGUUGAAAGGGAAGCGUUUAUGACCAGACUUGGGCUUGGUUAAUCAUCUGGGGUUCUCCCCAGUGCACUUUUCCAGUCCAGGCCAGCAUCAGUUUUCCCCGGGGGAUAAAGACUUCGGGAAUGUGGCUCUCUUCGGGGAGUGUUAUAGCCCGUUGUGUAAUACCCUGGGGGGGACUGAGGUUCGCGCAUCUGCAAGGAUGCUGGCGUAAGGUCA
rnacentral:rRNA from 1 species